AACGCGAAGAACCUUACCUGGGCUUGACAUGUGAGUGACCACCGUGGAAACACGGCUUCCCUUCGGGGCACUUUCACAGGUGGUGCAUGGCUGUCGUCAGCUCGUGUCGUGAGAUGUUGGGUUAAGUCCCGCAACGAGCGCAACCCUUAUCUCCAGUUGCCAUCAUUCAGUUGGGCACUCUGGCGAAACCGCCUCGGAUAACGGGGAGGAAGGUGGGGAUGACGUCAAGUCCUCAUGGCCUUUAUGUCCAGGGCUACACACGUGCUACAAUGGCCGGUAUAAACCGCUGCAAACCCGCGAGGGGGAGCUAAUCGGAAAAAGCCGGCCUCAGUUCGGAUCGCAGUCUGCAACUCGACUGCGUGAAGCUGGAAUCGCUAGUAAUCGCAGAUCAGAAUGCUGCGGUGAAUACGUUCCCGGGCCUUGUACACACCGACUGUAC
rnacentral:rRNA from 1 species